rnacentral:rRNA from 1 species
UUGGAGGGCAAGUCUGGUGCCAGCAGCCGCGGUAAUUCCAGCUCCAAUAGCGUAUAUUAAAGUUGUUGCAGUUAAAAAGCUCGUAGUUGAAUUUCGGGAUCAAUACGUCGGUCGUGCUUUUGGUACGUACUGGCAUCAUUGGUUUCUCCCUUCUGACAAACCAUGAUGUCAUUAAUUUGGUGUUAUGGGGAGUUAGGACUGUUACUUUGAAAAAAUUAGAGUGUUUAAAGCAGGCAUUAGCUUGAAUACAUUAGCAUGGAAUAAUGAAAUAGGACGUUUGACCCUAUUUUGUUGGUUUCUAGGAUCGACGUAAUGAUUAAUAGGGAUAGUUGGGGGCAUUAGUAUUCAAUUGUCAGAGGUGAAAUUCUUGGAUUUAUUGAAGACUAACUACUGCGAAAGCAUUUGCCAAGGAUGUUUUCAUUAAUCAAGAACGAAAGUUAGGGGAUCGAAGACGAUCAGAUACCGUCGUAGUCUUAACCAUAAACUAUGCCGACUAGGGAUCGGAUGAUGUUAAUUUUUUAAUGACUCAUUCGGCGCCUUACGGGAAAC